rnacentral:lncRNA from 1 species
CUUGUAAGUAAUCUCUUGGUAAUAAAGAAAGAGAGAAAGGGAGAGAAUGAGUGGGAUGAGAAUCAACCGCAUGGUCGGUUAUGUACAAGAGGAAAAGGAGAGUGGGUUGGACAUUUGAUAUACACCACACUUAAUAUCUAUCUCAUUUUUUCUUUCAUCUCUUUUAUUCUUCCAAGUUACAAAGAACUAAAUUAAGAGAGAGAGGGAGAGGAGUGGUCGGCAGCCACAAUGAGAAGAGGGAGGGGAGUUUUUUUUUGGUGAUACAUCAAAGCUCCAUAAUCAACUAAGAAGAAGAAGAAGGACUAGCAAGAAAUCAAAGGUAUAAAAUUUCCUAAACUCAAAACUCUAGUUAGUUUAUGUGUUUUGUUAUGGUUGACCAAGUGUUGAACUCAUGAUUUUGAGUCAUAUGAGGGUAGGUCUACAUAAUAUAUGAUAUUUUAUGGUUAGAUCUUGCCAUUUUUAAGGUUGAUGAGCUUGAACAAAGAAGAAGAACCAAAACAGUUUUUAAAAAAAUAAUCUAGUGGACUGCUGCCCCUAAUCAGAAAUUCCGGAUUUGUUAGGGUGCUCUAAAAAAUUCUGGACUUGUGAGAUGUUGUAGUACACUGAAUAAGCUUUCCAUAGACUCCGAAACGGACUAAAUCUGACAUCGGAGGAGAGAGUUAUGACAUUUCAAAGUAGUAGUGUCAAAACUGUCAAACUAACUCGGGUCAGUCACUUUACACGGAAUUUCUGGAAUUCUUUGUUUAGAAUUUGAAGAUGGUCCAAGAACAAAAGUUGUAGUCCCGGAAGUUAGCUUCGCGUGGGCUCAAGAAUCGCUCAAAAAUGUUUUAAAACGAAAAAGUUAUGACUGUUUUAGCGAAAGAGGGUAAAUCUGGGAAAAAGAUAAAAAUUUGUUGCGAGUGGACAUUUUUGGGGCCUGUUUUAGACUGCCUAAAAAGUACGAAAUUACUGGGUGAUAUUUUUUAAAAAAUAAUUUGGUAUACCAUGUAUAAUAUAUCCAAAGUUGGGAAUUUUCUGAUAAACGAGCAAGGCGUGAGAAAAUCGAGAAGUAGCUAGGUUGAUAAGCGCACGGCAGGGCAGCGGCAGCAGCCAGGCAGCGCCCGCGCACGCCUGCCCAGCCGCGUGGCGCCGUGUUGUGCUGUGGUUCGACGUCCUUUUCGCGCACUGUUUUGAUUAGUUUCCGUGAUCCAUUUUUUGCGGUGUAAAAUUUUUCUAAAAUACUAUGCCAUGAGGUCUAUAAUAUGCCUGAAUUUUCGUUGUUAUAUGACUCAUGAUUUGAGAAUUAAAAAUGGGCGAACAGGCAUGUCAGAACUAAAAUUUGAGCGAACGCCGAGCGUCGGCGCGUCGAGCGAUUUUGACGUUUGACGUUCCGAAUCGCGUUCCGGCGAAAUAAUAAGUCAUAAUAAAUAUAAUAAAGUCCUACGGGCCGAGAUUUGACUAUAUGUAAUAUUUUAUGCCGAGAAACUUUCUUUCGGGUAUAAAUAAAGUAAUAAAAAUAUGUAAUAAAUAUAAGUUACAUAUUUAAGCGAAAUAAAAUCUGUAGUUGCUUAUGAAAUUAUUUUGUGGUGCAACGAAGAGCGAGAAACUUUUAAUAAUUGUAUUAAUCGUAAAAAUGAUAUUUUGAGAUUUUCGGUGCUCAAAACGUGGUUUUUGAGCUGAGAUUUAUGUAACGGAGUAUGUAUGUAAAAAUUAUUUAAAUUAAAGAAAUAUUAUAGUAAAUUGAGUUUUACUAUAAAAGCUAUGUAUUAGCUGUUUAAACCUCAAAUUUGCAAGUAAAAGUAAAAGAUAUUUCUAAAGUGGAAUAUAAAGGAUUUAAGCUUCAAGAUGUAAAAUAUUUAUAUCUUAACAUGUGUGAGACCUUUAUUAUUUAUGAAACAAGUAAAAUAUUAUUACAUGAUUAAUAAUAUUAGAUAAUGAUUAAAAUAUUAUUAAAUGAUUAAUAAUAUUAGUAAAUGAUUUGAAUAUUAUUAAAUGAUUAAUAAUAUUAGAUUAUGAAUAAAAUACUAUUAAGUGAUAAUAAUUAUAUUAUAAUAUUAUGUUAUGAUUUUCGUUGAUAUUUAGUAUUAAAUUAAUAUUAAUGAUCAAGGAAUAAUGUGGUACCAGUUAUUGAUUAAUGUUUUUAAUUACUUUAAAAACAUUUAAAGGAAAUAAUAAAGUAUUGAAAAUACUUUGAGAUAUUAUAAAUAUGAUAUAGUAUUAUGGCAUGUAAUUCAUUAAUGUUUAGCAAUAAAUAAAUAUUAAUGACUAAGGAAUUAUGUGGUAUUUAAUUCAUUUAAAUACAAUUUUAAUAAUUUGGAAAAUCAUAAUAAAUGAUAAUAAUUACUUGAAAAUUUUUAUGAGCCUAUGGAAAAUUAUUCUGACUGAUUAGAAAAUUAUCUGUGAUAAUUGUUAAGUGUUUAAGCAAGAGUUUAAUUGAACUUAAACUCGAGUAUUGUCUGAUUAGACCGUCGGGAUGUUAGAACUGUGUCGGUUACAAGUCAGACUGAAAUAGUUUGACCUGAUACAAAGUUUCAUGUGCUGAAUAGACUGAUAGGAUUAUGUGGUAAUGUGUUUAGGUUAUUUUAUACUGUGAUGAUAUUAUUCUAAUAUUUGGAGAUCGGUAUUAUCUGUAUUAGGUCUUCAGAUAAAGCUAAGUUAUAUUUCGUAUCGGUAAUCAACAGUUCAGGCAAGUUUUACUUAACUCUACUAAGAGUGUUUUAUUCAGAUAUGCAUAUGGUUAAUCAUUGCUGAUUGCCAUGUUGAAUUGUACACUGUAUAUAUUGCACGUAUAAGUCAGGUAUGAAAGGCUGAUCACCUUCAUUACCAGUUGGUCCGGAUAUAUAUAUAUAUAUUGUUCAUAUGUAAUACUUGUUCAGUCAAAAGUUUUGUUCAUGCUAAUUCACCACUACAUUGUCAAUUAUAGCCAGCUUAUUAUUCAUACUCUUUCAAUCAUGAUAUAUCCUUAAAUUGUAUUUAAACUUGUUGGGCAACUUUCAUACUCACCCUUGCUAUAUCAUGAUAAAACAUUGCAGAUUAAGGUGAAUGCGUCGGAUACAUGGAAAGUUAAAGACAGUUCCAGCUUAAAGUUAAUGUGCGCGAUUAGUUUUGUAAUAGUCUUGUAUGAUAAUGAGGUCAUGUGUUAGAUAAGUUAUAAAUUGUGUAUAAGUUAUGGUUACUCGACCUUGGGAUAGUGUAUAAUGUUUAAUGUAUAAACAAUUUAUGUUUAUAUCUUCCGCAAUAGUAGUAGAAUGAGUGAACCGGAUCCACGGUGAUUUGGGGCC